rnacentral:rRNA from 1 species
CGGGUGAGUAAUACGGAGUGACCUACCUUUGACUCUGGGAUAAGCCUGGGAAACUGGGUCUAAUACCGGAUACGACCAAUCUCCGCAUGGGGUGUUGGUGGAAAGCGUUAUGGAGUGGUUUUAGAUGGGCUCACGGCCUAUCAGCUUGUUGGUGAGGUAAUGGCUUACCAAGGCGACGACGGGUAGCCGGCCUGAGAGGGUGACCGGCCACACUGGGACUGAGACACGGCCCAGACUCCUACGGGAGGCAGCAGUGGGGAAUAUUGCACAAUGGGCGCAAGCCUGAUGCAGCGACGCCGCGUGAGGGAUGACGGCCUUCGGGUUGUAAACCUCUGUUAGCAUCGAAGAAGCGAAAGUGACGGUAGGUGCAGAGAAAGCGUCGGCUCAU